rnacentral:rRNA from 1 species
GACGAACGCUGGCGGCGUGCUUAACACAUGCAAGUCGAACGGAAAGGCCCUGCUUUUGUGGGGUGCUCGAGUGGCGAACGGGUGAGUAACACGUGAGUAACCUGCCCUUGACUUUGGGAUAACUUCAGGAGACUGGGGCUAAUACCGGAUAGGAGCUCCUGCUGCAUGGUGGGGGUUGGAAAGUUUCGGCGGUUGGGGAUGGUCUCGCGGCUUAUCAGCUUGUUGGUGGGGUAGUGGCUUACCAAGGCUUUGACGGGUAGCCGGCCUGGGAGGGUGACCGGCCACAUUGGGACUGAGAUACGGCCCAGACUCCUACGGGAGGCAGCAGUGGGGAAUAUUGCACAAUGGGCGGAAGCCUGAUGCAGCAACGCCGCGUGCGGGAUGACGGCCUUCGGGUUGUAAACCGCUUUCGCCUGUGACGAAGCGUGAGUGACGGUAAUGGGUAAAGAAGCACCGGCUAACUACGUG